GCCAAAGUAAAAAAAGCGUUUAGAAGGACUGCUAGGGCGAAUUUAGUUAUUGCACACGCGCACGUCAGGGUAGGCGUUCCCUAACGGAAAAAUGCUAAUAAAUACUAUAACGGUCCAAUUGGAUCUCACUAUCUCGUGCUUGACUCUGCCCACCUCCUUGAUUUUUCUAAGAUUCAUUUUCUCCCAUUGGAAACGACUGGCUCUAUCUUGAGUUAGUUAUCUUUGCAUCUUUGCUCCAAGUAUGCAUUUACCCGUGACUUGAAUAUGGAGCAAGAAAGACGAACCCGGAAUCAUAACGCCUGAGCGGAGUUGCCACAUCCGGUUUUCAGCGUAAAAGGAAGCUAGGUCACCCGGCACCAUAACAUGUUUACGUUUCUGUAACUAAGACUAGCUAAGUGUCUCGAUUCGCACCGUCGGACUCAGAGCAUUCAGUUUACAUUUCCGAAAUAAGCUAACCAGUUACCCACCUGGAAGAUGAAGUACUUUACUGUAGCACCAACUUUUUUUCAAGUUCCAAACUGUCUUAUGGAAGGCUAAGGGGGACCUGCAAAAUCAAGAGUCUCAGAUGGGGAGCUGGACCUCUUGAAGACCAAGCUAGACUGGCAGGCCUGUGGAUCUCUUGUUCUGGGCUACUCAGAGGUGCUGCCAGAACUGGACCUUGGCACUAUCAAUUCACAGACUACCACCUACAGCCCGUCCAUACAAACCUGCACAUAGGACAAGUGCUGGGCCUCAGUCACAAAGUCAUCACUGAUGCUCUGACUGAAACUAGCCUACACCAACUGGUCUUUGCCAACUGUUCCACUAACCUACCCCUCUUCAACAACAGACUUGUGAACAGAACAUCCUUCCUGACACACAAGACAAGAGUUCUGAGGUCUUGUAAAGAGGGAUGAGAGGACUGCCAAUAGAUUAAACUGAUUCAUUACUUUGAUCAGUCCUACUUUCAACACUUCGUACUAAAAAUGUACUCUGAUUGCCCACUUAAGCUUGCAAUGGAUUUCAGUGGAGUUAAACAUGACACAUGCAGUGUCACUGUUUCGUGUGGAAGGGGCUACGAGAAGGGGUCGAUUUGGAAUUCAGCACUGUCCAUGGGUUGACCGUCCUGAACUUUUUUUUCCUUAAAUGUUUUGUUUUUGACAGUACAGCUGGAAAUGUAAAGAUUGAAACAUAGUAGGGGCAUAGACAGAGGGUGGCCGAGGUGGAGCCCAAUCCCUGUUGCCAGGGGGCCCAAUCCCUGUUGCCAGGGGGCAUAUCUGGUACAGAGUCGGGGAGCUUAGACCACUACACUAGACUCCGUCACGACUGACCUGAACUUUUUACCAGAAAAUAAAUACUAUGUUCAUCAGACUCUCCUCACUGUAAAACUCAGAAUGGUUGUGAGGUCACAGGGAAAAGACUGAUCUGAGGGACCACAGACUCACAAAACAUUGUAGCUCACUUGACUGGAAAACAGCUCUUUGUGGUGCCUAUGUCUGACAUGAAGUAAAAAUGAAAACACAACAGAAAAUUGCUCUCUACUUCCUACCACAAUCUUAUAUAUUGCAUACUUAGAAUAUGAAUGUGAUUAUUCAUACACUCAUAUUAGGCUUAUUUCUCUUUGGUUGGGGUGUUCAAUGGUUAAGUGGACUAGCUACCACUAUGGCAUUUUGAUGUUAUGGCGUCAGCUCUGGCUGGCUGAGAAGACAAGUAAAAGGGCUAAUAGUUGGCAGGGCAAUUUUUGUUUUUCCCAACUUUGUAUUACCGUAUCAAAUAAUUUAAUUAAGGUAGAAAAAUCACUUUAUAUCGGUGUUAUGCCUGUUGUUCAAGCGUGUAACUGCCCUCUCAUUCGCUAGAAUGGUCCCACCUGAUCUCACCUCCUCCCGACUUCCUUCCAUCUUUGAAUACAUGUAUUUUCAUUGUUAGAGUGGCCACUUGAGUAUCUUAUCUAUAUAAUUGUCAUGACUGCCACUCCUUGGUGAGGAUCAAAGGUGCCGGAUCAGCUAGGCCAAUGGCUGACAGAUAGCCAAACUCUCUCUCUCUCCUGGGGGAGUUGGCCCGGUUUUAUGAUUUAACGACCGGAUUGUAAAUACCUGGCAGAAACUCUCCCUUUGGCUCUGCAGUAUUGAAAGACUGAGUGUUACAGAGAGACUCUUGCUAAAAACUUUAACAUCAAAAGAUUGGACAUUGGAACAUUAGUUUUGAAAUCCAAACGCUUGGAAUGGUUGGUGGGUUUAUUAUUUUGUGAUAUCAUUAAGGAUGGUAUAACUAAGUAACAUUGUAACUUUAAGAGCUUUCACAAUGUAUAGAUCAGAUUUGCAUGUUGCAUGUUACUGUUGUGAAGAUAAAAUGUGAUUUUAGCCUUCUAAAUGAGAAUUGUUUUUCAUAUAAACUUUUGCUAAGUCAGUAACCACGCCCACGUGAGCACAGACUUCGUGUCAGCAUGAUGGAACACCCCUUUUUACCUAAGCAUAAAAGGACUCGUAACGAAAUUUACAUUAGACCAAAACAGGCCGGGUUGCUGCCGGUUUGUAAAGUGGUCCUAGCUGUACCCUGAAUAAUCAACCAUUGAGACCAGUCUACGUGCAGCGUGAGCUGAAUACGUUACCAAUGGUUAAAUCUCUACAGUUGGGUAAUUUAAAGUAGUCUAUGUAGAACAAUUGACCCAGACGGGAAAGAAGAACAAUUCCCUAUCACCACUGUGUGAUACACCUCUGAUGGAUCCAUUCUAACGAACACUCCAGAACAAAAGAAGCCUACAACUACUAAGGAAAUUGUGACCUCUGGUGGACCACCAGAGACUUACAUCGAACCACCACAUUGAACUAUCGAGUUCAACAGAGAGACGACAGAGAAAGACAUCUACGCGUAAAUAUGUAUUGCAUUCCUUUUCUGAAUGAGCGGGUGUUAGGGUUCCUAAUAUCCAUAUUUACAGUGAGUGUAUUUUUCAACUGUAUGUACGAUAAGUCCACUCUCUUUGUCUCUCCCGCUCCUUAUCUUUCCCCACCCCCUUUCCAUUGUGUAACAAGCUGUCAUAUCGGGUUAGUCCACUAGGGACUGUUUCAUU
rnacentral:lncRNA from 1 species